UACGUAGGGAGCAAGCGUUGUCCGGAAUCAUUGGGCGUAAAGCGCGCGUAGGCGGCCUCAUAAGUCCGUUGUGAAAGUCAAAGGCUCAACCUUUGAAAGCCGAUGGAUACUGUGAGGCUAGAGUCCGGAAGAGGCGAGUGGAAUUCCUGGUGUAGCGGUGGAAUGCGCAGAUAUCAGGAGGAACACCAAUAGCGAAGGCAGCUCGCUGGGACGGUACUGACGCUAAGGCGCGAAAGCGUGGAGAGCGAACAGG
rnacentral:rRNA from 1 species